CACCUCCUAUCACAGCCAGAGUGAGGAGGUUAACAAGGACUCUACACAUCUUAAUGGAUCCAUCCAAUCAGCGGCCUCCUCCUCCUCUCCUCCUGCCCUGACAGAAAAGUGGAGCAGAUGCUCUGCGUGCAAAACAAUGCCACCCCCGCGGGCCGGACACUGUCGAACCUGUGGAUCCUGCGUCAAGCGUCUGGACCACCACUGUGUCUGAUAGAAACUCCAGAACCAACCAUGAUAUACUGAUAAACAGCUGUGUCGGACAGGCAAACCACCGCAGUUUCCUGCUGACCCUCUUGGUGUUCGUGCUGACCUCUCUGUAUGGGAUCAGUUUGGUG